AGGUAAGCUACUAAGAGCGAAUGGUGGAUGCCUUGACUGGUAAAGGCGAUGAAGGACGUACUAGACUGCGAUAAGCUACGGGGAGCUGUCAAGAAGCUUUGAUCCGUAGAUUUCCGAAUGGGGCAACCCAAUGUAUAGAGAUAUACAUUACCUAUAUAGGAGCGAACGAGGGGAAUUGAAACAUCUUAGUACCCUCAGGAAAAGAAAUCAAUAGAGAUUGCGUCAGUAGCGGCGAGCGAAAGCGCAAGAGGGCAAACCCAGUGCUUGCACUGGGGGUUGUAGGACUGCAAUGUGCAAGAGGUAAGUUUAGCAGAACAUUCUGGAAAGUAUAACCAUAGAGGGUGAUAGUCCCGUAUGCGAAAAACAAACCUUAGCUAGCAGUAUCCUGAGUAGGGCGGGACACGAGGAAUCCUGUCUGAAUCCGGGUCGACCACGAUCCAACCCUAAAUACUAAUACCAGAUCGAUAGUGCACAAGUACCGUGAGGGAAAGGUGAAAAGAACUGAGGUGAUCAGAGUGAAAUAGAACCUGAAACCAUUUGCUUACAAUCAUUCAGAGCCCUAUGUAGCAAUACAGGGUGAUGGACUGCCUUUUGCAUAAUGAGCCUGCGAGUUGUGGUGUCUGGCAAGGUUAAGCAAACGCGAAGCCGUAGCGAAAGCGAGUCUGAAUAGGGCGCUUAGUCAGAUGCUGCAGACCCGAAACGAAGUGAUCUAUCCAUGAGCAAGUUGAAGCUAGUGUAAGAACUAGUGGAGGACUGAACCCAUAGGCGUUGAAAAGCCCCGGGAUGACUUGUGGAUAGGGGUGAAAGGCCAAUCAAACUUCGUGAUAGCUGGUUCUCUCCGAAAUAUAUUUAGGUAUAGCGUUGUGUCGUAAUAUAAGGGGGUAGAGCACUGAAUGGGCUAGGGCAUACACCAAUGUACCAAACCCUAUCAAACUCCGAAUACCUUAUAUGUAAUCACAGCAGUCAGGCGGCGAGUGAUAAAAUCCGUCGUCAAGAGGGAAACAACCCAGACUACCAGCUAAGGUCCCUAAAUCUUACUUAAGUGGAAAACGAUGUGAAGUUACUUAAACAACCAGGAGGUUGGCUUAGAAGCAGCCAUCCUUUAAAGAAAGCGUAAUAGCUCACUGGUCUAGUGAUUUUGCGCGGAAAAUAUAACGGGGCUAAAGUAAGUACCGAAGCUGUAGACUUAGUUUACUAAGUGGUAGGAGAGCGUUCUAUUUGCGUCGAAGGUAUACCGGUAAGGAGUGCUGGAGCGAAUAGAAGUGAGCAUGCAGGCAUGAGUAGCGAUAAUUAAUGUGAGAAUCAUUAACGCCGUAAACCCAAGGUUUCCUACGCGAUGCUCGUCAUCGUAGGGUUAGUCGGGUCCUAAGUCGAGUCCGAAAGGGGUAGACGAUGGCAAAUUGGUUAAUAUUCCAAUACCAACAUUAGUGUGCGAUGGAAGGACGCUUAGGGCUAAGGGGGCUAGCGGAUGGAAGUGCUAGUCUAAGGUCGUAGGAGGUUAUACAGGCAAAUCCGUAUAACAAUACUCCGAGAACUGAAAGGCUUUUUGAAGUCUUCGGAUGGAUAGAAGAACCCCUGAUGCCGUCGAGCCAAGAAAAGUUUCUAAGUUUAGCUAAUGUUGCCCGUACCGUAAACCGACACAGGUGGGUGGGAUGAGUAUUCUAAGGCGCGUGGAAGAACUCUCUUUAAGGAACUCUGCAAAAUAGCACCGUAUCUUCGGUAUAAGGUGUGGUUAGCUUUGUAUUAGGAUUUACUCCGAAAGCAAGGAAACUUACAACAAAGAGUCCCUCCCGACUGUUUACCAAAAACACAGCACUCUGCUAACUCGUAAGAGGAUGUAUAGGGUGUGACGCCUGCCCGGUGCUCGAAGGUU
rnacentral:rRNA from 1 species